AUGUACAGUUCAGUCAAUUACAUUUUAUUCACUAUUUCAAUUCUACAGGAUUUCCCCGAGAGGCUUUGGACUGUCAGCAUCACUGGAACAAAAACAAACUUCACUUCACCCAGAACUCAGAAAUACACAAUCUUUGGUAAAAUCUUCACAAAAACUAAUCCAGCUGGAUGUAAUAAUACCUUCAAGCUGCAUGCUAACGCUACAUCAAAAAGUAAAACAGAGAUCAUGAAACAAAAGAUCUCUGUGAUGUUUGCUAAAGAUGACGUUGAGCUUAUGGAAGGAGUAGGACUAAGCAUACAGCUCAACUGUGAAGUGAAAAUUGAUGAGGAGAAGUCCAAACUCUUCGUUUAUCAACAGAACCCAUGACCUUGAUUAAGAUGCCAGAUACUUUUGUUGCUGGUAUCCGGACCAAGGGGAAAGCCCUGUCUUUAUCUUUUAAAGAUUUACCCCAAAGAUUUUACACACACAUAGCAGCAUCUGAAUGAACAGAGACCUACUAUCAACAUCAGUGUUAAGAGCUUAGCGGGAUCCUGACAAGGCUUACUUGUGAAUGUUUGGUUAAGCAAAAAUGUUCACGCUUUAAAAUGACUGCAGAAUUUGUCAGUGGAGUUCAGGAGAGCUUUUCUUUGUUCAUCAGUGUGAGUGUGGUUUAGAUAUUGUUUAUUUAAAUAUUUUAUAAAUCAUGUAAAAUCUAUUUUUAGAUAUUUGCUGAUUGUAUUUGAAUUAUAUUAUUUCUUUUUUGUUUGAAAUGUAUUAACAAAUGCAAACUGAUUGUAAUGACACCUAUGGUGUCCACAACUUUCUAUUGGUCAGCUACAUAAAUCCGGUGUUUGUAUUCAUUACACGUUAUUAAACAAUUUUCCUAACAAAUGCAUGUUUGCUUUCAAAUCCUCAUUCUUUAAUAAUUUUACAUUUUUAUACUGAAAGGUUUUUAUUUAUGAAGGAUCUAAGCAACCAUAGGUUUGGGAUUUUUCUUCUUCUUCUGUUUUAUACCAUUUAAUCAUGUAGUAUUUAACAAUUUGUUAAUUAUUAUUAAUUUAUCAUUAACUUAUUACUAUUAAUGCUUGCUAUUAUGUUGCGAGUAUGCAGUUUUUAUGGGAUUUUUUUUUUUAAGCUGGGGUCUCUAUUUCAGUGUUGGAAUGCUACGGGAUGCAGUAAUUUUCUAUUGCAAUCUCUUUGGUAUAACAAACCGUGCUGAAUUUGUACAAAGUCAGAACAGGCGUUAAAAAAGAUACAACUACAUGUGAUACAACUAAUGUGAGAACCACGUCUUUACCCCCACACUCAGUGAUUGUGCUUUUUCAGUGUGGAAGCAGAAGGGUAUAGGACAUAUCAGCUCACUCUACUUGAAUGGCCUUUUUUUCCUGUCCUUUAAAGAGCUACAAUCAAAGUUUCAGCUACCCAGUUCCCACGUUUUUUUUUCUCUUUUUUUUGGUAAAUUAGAGACUAUGUCAGAAUUUUUUUUUCCCCAAUUUUGAGUGAUUAUGAAUGCAUAACAUAUUAGAGGAAAUAAAUAUAGCUUUAAUGCUGGUAACUGUAAAGCAGUGUCUGCAAAAAGCUGUUUCUACAAAAUAUUAAUUGGCCAGGUGGAGAGUGAUACAAAUGUAAUCAGGAAAGAAAACUUAAAGCUGCAGUCCAUAAUUUUUUGGUUAAAAUUAUUUUAAAUCAAUAUUUGAGCAAGUACAUAACCAGCCAAUGUUCAAAACUAUUGCCUUACUUUAGCCUGAUUCACAGCGGUUAGCUUAUAAUAAUGUUUUCUAAUUUGAUCGGUAGGGGUAGGUUUUCGCUGGAAAUUCGAGCAUGCUGCCGCAUCAUUACGUCACGACUGUAAACAUAAAGAAGUUGUCCUAGCUACUAUCGCAUGUGAGGAGGAUUCUGCAGGUGACGGAUCGUUUAUAGCCUUUUCUCACAGCAGCUAGAAUAAUUAAAUGUAUCAUUUUGAUGGCCGAUUGUAAUCCAGAAAGGAUUAUGUGUUUAUGAAACACGUGUGAAUGAAAUUAAAUUAUAUUCCAGUUUUAAAUGUGCUUCUGAAUACAGAUAGCCUGGGAUUACACGAGAUUUGUAUUUUAAAGACAACCAGCUCCAAGGGAGCAUAUUUUUAGCUUUUUGGGUUAAAAGUCAUCAUAUAUCAGCCCAGACAGCAACAUAGUGUUGGUGGCCCGCAUGAAAUCCAUGCGGGCCAGAUGUGGGCAGUAUCUGGGCAAAAACUGCUUGCUGUCUGGGAGUGAUAUUUAUCUCUGAUAAUUAAUACUAUUUUCUGUUUCUUUCCUUUCCUGCAACUCUUGGCUUUCCUGAUGUGUUGGAUAGAUCUAACAUUGAGAACAUUUUUACAUUUUCCAAGAAAUCUUUAUCUUACGUGUCAUAUUUCAGUGGAUUUGAAAAUAAAAAUAAAUAAAUAAAUUAUUCACUCCUAAGGGGAUUUGUGUUACUGUUUGUUCCAUGGAUUUUUACCUGACUCAUGCAUGAUAAGAUCUUAGUUUCUUGCCAAUUUGCUGUAUUUACCCAAGUUCUCUUGUCAGAACUUAUCCUAGAAUAGCGCAAGAUAAUUAACUCCACAAGUGUUCAUCAUGUGUCUACGUUGUUUGUCAAGAAUGUUACAAGUAAAAUUUAUUUCUGAAUAUGACCCAAACAAUUCACUAUCAUUCGGAACACAAUUUAAGCUAUUUUGGAUGAAAACUGGGAGGCCUGUGACAAGUAAGUAACACUGUCAAGGUCCAGGAAAGUAUGACAGACAUCAUCAGAACAGUCCAUCUGCCAUCAAUGAUUCAACCGGAAUGUAUGAUGCGACAAGAAUAUUUUUUUGUAUUCUCUCUUCUUUUUUGUAUUGUCUCUCCAUAUCACUGUAUGCUGUGUAUGCUCUUCUGUAUCAGCCGCGCCACAAGGUUGUGCUGUUUUCUUUCAAAUUAAAGCUAAAUACACAUAGAAACAGCGGAUCCUUGUGGCGCAGAUGAUACAGAAGAGCAUACGCAGAAUACGGUUAUAUGGAGAGACACAGAGGAGACUGUUGACAAAGGAAUUGUUGAAUAACUUACAAAAAGUGUUCCCGUCACUUCAUAACAUUACGGUUGAAUCACUGAUGGCAGAUGGACUAUUCUGACGAUGUCUUUCAUACUUUUCUGGACUUUGACAGUGUAACUUACUUUUCAGUCUAUGGGACAGUCACAGGCCUCCCGGUUUUCAUCCAAAAUAUCUUAAAUUGUGUUCCGAAGAUUAACAAAGUUUUUACGGGUUUGGAACAACAUGGGGGUAUGUGAUUAAUAACAAAAUUUUCAUUUUGGGGUGAAAAUCAGGGGGGGUACUCCGGGUUCGGGAGAAAUUACGGAGCACUGAGCCCUCUCCCUGGACAGCACGCCAAUUACUAUGCAUACCAUUUAUCCCACUUUAUUAUCUGCAGAGCGAACUCGUGAAUAACGUUGGUAUGUUGGCGAAAUGUAAAUGUAGUGGUAGUCCACUUGUAGUCUCUAGAAAUAUACUUGUAUUAGAGAGACAUUUGUUUUUAAUGUUUUCUGAAGAGAAUAUCAGUGGUGGUUGAUUGUAAAAAUUGGCCGACCAUAAUGCUAGAUUGUUGUAGGUGAUUGCCAUAACAUUGCUAUGCAGUUGCCAAGUUGUUUUGAGUCGUUUAAGCAUGUUGCUAUAUGAGUGCUAUGGUGCUGUAGGGGGUUGGUAGGGCAUUGAUUAUUUAAAGUAAAAACAAACCUUUCCUCAAUAAGCCAUGAUUAGAGAUAUAGUAUUCAUGUCAGAAGAACAAACACCAGGGCUCUCAUUUAUAAAACUCUCAGUAGAUUUCAUCCUAAAAAUGUACGUAUUCACAAAAGCUAGAUUUUGCGUACACACAAAAGUUUUCAGAUUUUAUAAAACCAUGCGUACGCCAGAACCUGCACAAAAAUCCCUUUAUAAAUCCCAGUCAGGGGAAGAUUGUGCAUACAUGCAUCUCCACCUCGUCUCCUGC
rnacentral:lncRNA from 1 species